rnacentral:rRNA from 1 species
ACGAACGCUGGCGGCGUGCCUAACACAUGCAAGUCGAGCGGAGGGGAUAGGAGCUUGCUUCUUGAACCUCAGCGGCGGACGGGUGAGUAACACGUGGGUAACCUGCCCUUGAGAGGGGGAUAACAGGUCGAAAGGCCUGCUAAUACCGCAUAACGCUAAGAAGCUGCAUGGCGUCUUAGCCAAAGGUUAAUUCCGCUCAAGGAUGGGCCCGCGGCCCAUUAGCUAGUUGGUGAGGUAAUGGCUCACCAAGGCGACGAUGGGUAGCCGGCCUGAGAGGGUGGUCGGCCACACUGGGACUGACACACGGCCCAGACUCCUACGGGAGGCAGCAGUGGGGAAUAUUGCGCAAUGGGGGAAACCCUGACGCAGCGACGCCGCGUGAGCGAUGAAGGCCUUCGGGUUGUAAAGCUCUGUCUUCCCUGACGAUAAUGACGGUAAGGGAGGAGGAAGCCACGGCUAACUACGUGCCAGCAGCCGCGGUAAUACGUAGGUGGCGAGCGUUGUCCGGAAUUACUGGGCGUAAAGGGUGCGUAGGCGGCUCUUUAAGUGGGAUGUGAAAUCCCUGGGCUCAACCCAGGAACUGCAUUCCAAACUGGAGAGCUAGAGUGCAGGAGAGGAAAGCGGAAUUCCCAGUGUAGCGGUGAAAUGCGUAGAGAUUGGGAGGAACACCAGUGGCGAAGGCGGCUUUCUGGACUGUAACUGACGCUGAGGCACGAAAGCGUGGGGAGCAAACAGGAUUAGAUACCCUGGUAGUCCACGCUGUAAACGAUGGGUACUAGGUGUAGGGGGCGAAGCCCUCUGUGCCGCAGCUAA